GUCUGCUAUUCCCAGACUGGAUUCAAAUGUGUGUAAUCCAGCAUUACUUUUCUUUACAUUAGCUCAUUGAUAUCAGGUAUGUAUUUGUUGCCACGGACAGCGCUAACCAGUCAUUUAUCAAAAAUGUAUCAUCAAAACAAGACAAUUUUUUGCUUUUCAAAUCAGUCAAUAUGUUUUAUUAUACAUUUGCAAGGGAGUAAUGGAACAAGAAGCAGAAGCCACAGUCAACUGUUAGAUGAAGAGUUGGAGGCAACAGGCUGCAUACCUUCAACUUGUAAACCACUGUGAAGAUCAGCCGGAGUCAUCGCUAUUGGCAACCAUGUGGGAUUGGAGGGGAAAGGUGGCCGCGGGGUCAGCGGCAGCAGUUAUUCUAUACCUAUGCAAUAACACACCCGGUUAGGGCAGAGUUCACAACAAGCCUUUAUCCUCUUCCUGCACACACACUGCAGCACCAUUUCAGAUUUAAUUCCAAGUUUUAUUUACUACUUGUGUUGAUUCCUCUCUCCUGUCAACAAGAAAUGAUGAAUGGCAUCAAUCCAAGUACCUGUGUUAAGUACUGUGUUAGUUUUGCUUUUAAGCGGGCCAUUACAAGAAGAGAACUAUCCUGUAUCCUGCAUCCUGUUUUCUGAUGAAUGGUCAGAGAGGAGCGUUUGAGCAUUAUUGACUUCCGCUGCAGACACUUAAAACGGUGAAACAGCGGUUGGAGCGAUUAAGCAGCAAUCACAUUUGUAAUUAUGAUAAUGUCAAUUGAGCUUGUCAAGGAUGAAUAAUUUCAGGGGAGACAGUAAAAUAUACCUAACAAGGCUUUUCUCAGCGGUAAACACGGGGCUUUUAAAACUGUAAUUAGCCCUUUAAUGUUUAACACAUGGCUCACAAGCCAUCCAUGGGCCCAACUUCCCUUCUCUCAACCACUUGCCCCUUUUCUCUGUAGGACACGCUUUUCACAUAGCUGGAAAUCUAACCACACAAAUAGGAAGCUCUCCCGGGGGGGGGAUGAGGCACAGGCAGGCGUAAUUCAGCAAUUGUGGGAC
rnacentral:lncRNA from 15 species